rnacentral:lncRNA from 1 species
UGAUCUAUGUAGACUAGGAGAUAACGUAGCAUAGGCCCAUUUGGAUUGACCAUAAGAUAAUCGUAGUGUUUGUGAUUGGAUUUGAAUAUAUUCCAGGUCUACUACUUCUUCUGAUCAUCUACUUACUAAAUCUACCUCUUUUGCUACAGAAUUCAUUAGGGCUAAGGAGAAAAAAGACCUUCACACUGACACCAAGGCACUAGGAUAGCACGAGUCUUCAUGAGUCCCCUUCUUCAUCAAUUCAGGUUGUUUUUGGUUGUAUCACAGGUAUCAUUCAGGCUGGAGCCAGUCUAGUUUCUUUCGGGUCAUAUCGGGGCAACACAUGAUAAGUAGAGU